UAACGCGUGGAUAACCUGCCUCAUACAGGGGGAUAACAGUUAGAAAUGACUGCUAAUACCGCAUAAGCACCCGGGAGCGCAUGCUCCUGAGUGAAAAGCUCCGGCGGUAUGAGAUGGAUCCGCGUCUGAUUAGCUGGUUGGCGGGGUAACGGCCCACCAAGGCGACGAUCAGUAGCCGACCUGAGAGGGUGGCCGGCCACAUUGGGACUGAGACACGGCCCAAACUCCUACGGAAGGCAGCAG
rnacentral:rRNA from 1 species